GAUGAACGCUGGCGGCGUGCUUAACACAUGCAAGUCGAACGGAAAGGCCCAAGCUUGCUUGGGUACUCGAGUGGCGAACGGGUGAGUAACACGUGGGUGAUCCGCCCUGCACUUCGGGAUAAGCCUGGGAAACUGGGUCUAAUACCGGAUAGGACCACAUUUUGGAUGGUGUGGUGGAAAGUUUUUCGGUGUGGGAUGAGCUCGCGGCCUAUCAGCUUGUUGGUGGGGUAAUGGCCUACCAAGGCGUCGACGGGUAGCCGGCCUGAGAGGGUGUACGGCCACAUUGGGACUGAGAUACGGCCCAGACUCCUACGGGAGGCAGCAGUGGGGAAUAUUGCACAAUGGGCGCAAGCCUGAUGCAGCGACGCCGCGUGGGGGAUGACGGCCUUCGGGUUGUAAACUCCUUUCGCUAGGGACGAAGCGCAAGUGACGGUACCUGGAGAAGAAGCACCGGCUAACUACGUG
rnacentral:rRNA from 1 species